rnacentral:tRNA from 1 species
AUAGAGGUGGCAGAUUAAGUGCAUCAGGUUUAAGCCCUGAAGAUAAAGAUGAAAAUUCUUUCUUCUAUA